rnacentral:rRNA from 1 species
UUCGCGCGCAACGUUCAUCGGCGCAGGGUGAGUCGGCCCCUAAGGCGAGGCAGAAAUGCGUAGUCGAUGGGAAGCAGGUUAAUAUUCCUGCACUUUUCUUAAGUGCGAUGUGGGGACGGAGAAGGUUAGGUCUACCAGGCGUUGGUUGUCCUGGGGAAAGGAGGUAGGCGGUGAUCUUAGGCAAAUCCGGGAUCACUUACGCCGAGCACCGAGACGAGUCCUAUGAGGACGAAGUGACUGACACCACGCUUCCAGGAAAAGCCACUAAGCUUCAGCUUAAGAAAAACCGUACCGCAAACCGACACAGGUAGGCAGGGUGAGAAUCCCAAGGCGCUUGAGAGAACUCGGGUGAAGGAACUAGGCAAAAUGGCACCGUAACUUCGGGAGAAGGUGCGCCCUUUGGUGUGGUCACGUGCGUGACUGAGCAUCGAAGGGUCGCAGUAACCUGGCCGCUGCGACUGUUUAUCAAAAACACAGCACUCUGCAAACACGAAAGUGGACGUAUAGGGUGUGACGCCUGCCCGGUGCUGGAAGGUUAAUUGAUGGGGUCAGCCGCAAGGCGAAGCUCUUGAUCGAAGCCCCAGUAAACGGCGGCCGUAACGAUAACGGUCCUAAGGUAGCGAAAUUCCUUGUCGGGUAAGUUCCGACCUGCACGAAUGGCGUAACGACAGCGGCGCUGUCUCCACCCGAGACUCAGUGAAAUUGAAAUCGCUGUGAAGAUGCAGCGUUCCCGCGGCAAGACGGAAAGACCCCGUGAACCUUUACUAUAGCUUUACACUGAACGUUGAGUUCUUCUGUGUAGGAUAGGUGGGAGGCUAUGAAACCAGGACGCUAGUUCUGGUGGAGCCAUCCUUGAAAUACCACCCUGAAGUGCUUGACGUUCUAACCUAGGCCCGUAAUCCGGGUCAGGGACCGUGUAUGGUGGGUAGUUUGACUGGGGCGGUCUCCUCCCAAAGAGUAACGGAGGAGCACGAAGGUACGCUCAGCGCGGUCGGACAUCGCGCACUGUGUGCAAAGGCAUAAGCGUGCUUGACUGCGAGAUCGACGGAUCAAGCAGGUACGAAAGUAGGUCUUAGUGAUCCGGUGGUUCUGUAUGGAAGGGCCAUCGCUCAACGGAUAAAAGGUACUCCGGGGAUAACAGGCUGAUACCGCCCAAGAGUUCAUAUCGACGGCGGUGUUUUGGCACCUCGAUGUCGGCUCAUCACAUCCUGGGGCUGUAGCCGGUCCCAAGGGUAUGGCUGUUCGCCAUUUAAAGUGGUACGCGAGCUGGGUUCAGAACGUCGUGAGACAGUUCGGUCCCUAUCUGUCGUGGGCGUUGGAGAUUUGAGGGGGGCUGCUCCUAGUACGAGAGGACCGGAGUGGACGUUCCGCUGGUGUUCGGGUUGUCAUGCCCAUGGCAUUGCCCGGUAGCUACGAACGGAAGUGAUAACCGCUGAAAGCAUCUAAGCGGGAAGCACGCCCCAGGAUGAGAUCUCCCGAGAGCUUGACUCUCCUAAAGGCACCAUCAAGACUAGGUGGUUGAUAGGUCAGGUGUGGAAGCGCAGCAAUGCGUUGAGCUAACUGAUACUAAUGAGCCGUGAGGCUUGACC